AAGAGCCGCCCAAGUCCCUUUCCCCAUCUCUCCAGCUCUCGCCCUUUCCAUGGUUGCCGUUGCCUGAGGUGAUGACCGGCGACGACCAUGACUGUUGCUGUUGCACCUAGCUAUUGCUUCUGUCCCUUUUCCCCCUCUACUGUCACUGUUUCGCCGGAGUCGCACCAUCAACGGCAAACGAGCAGAAAAUCGGCGAUAGUCGUCCAAACUGGUUGGUUUCAACUAUUUUUUUUUAUUUUAAAAACUAAACAAAGCUGAAAUCUGUUUCUGCUGAGUUGUAUCGAAAUUGGGGCGUUGAAGUCAUUUGAGGUCGUAGUCUAUGGUUUCCGGGCAGAUUCGCGGUUCCGUCGAGUUAGUCGGUAAAUUUUCCGGUCGAGAGCCGUCCAGCUAUUAAGCCUUUGUAAUUUCAACUCAGUUCAUUUAUACCAAAGGUCAAAUUCUCGUCCCUUUCU
rnacentral:lncRNA from 1 species